UACGUAAAAUAUGUAUGUUUAAAGGUAUUUAAAAGUGACCACUUAUGUGGUUAAAAGUAAUCAAUACUUUCUCAAGGUGAGCUUCAUAAGACAGUGGUAUUGGUAAAAUGGCAAAGAAGCAAACGAAACUUUAAGGUGGGAGACAUCAGAGUAGACAGAAAAGGAAUUUUGAGAGGAAAAGAAGGAGGACACAUUCUUGCACUCCCGGGCCUUUAUCCUAGGAGCCUUGCGCCUACAUAACACUUCCACACUGACAGCCUUGUGACUACACAGCUCCUCACACUGUAGCCUUGUGACUACACAGCUCCUCACACUGACAGCCUGUGGCUACACAGCACCUCACACUGACAUCCACAGCAGCUUUACUUAGUGCAGCUCUGACUGAAAAUCCCAAUUGUUCUUCAGUGGGUGAACCGUCUAACAUGGUCAACCACACUUUGGAACACCAAGAACAAUCCCAGUGAACCGACAGAAUAAAGAUGGCUCUCACUUGUAGCAAAUGAAAAAUAACCAGUCAUAAAAUGACAUAUUGCAUAACCCCAUUUUGUGACAUCCUUGAACUGACAGAAUUGUGGAGAAAAAAAAUUGGUGUACGGUUGCUGGAUUAGUAGACUGCCGUAGGAUAGAGCAUGUGUAUCCAUAAAAGGUCAGCAUGAGUGGUUGUUACAAACGGUGGCAUCUUCAGUACCAUGACUGGUGGUGACGACUUCAUGUUUACACGUGAUACAAUCUUAUGGAACAAAACACACCCAUGCAUAGAACUGACCACACAAGAAAUGGUAAUAUCCGGACAGGGCUGGCAGCAUUGACGCAUGGUUGUGAUGUACUGUAUAAUUCUGCAACAUGAAACCACCGGGGAAAGUGGGUAAAUUAUACAUCUCUCUGCAUUACCUCUUACAACUACAUGUGAACCUAUGAGUGUGUCCAAAUACAACGCUGUUUUAAAAAAUACAGAGGGCCAUGUUUGCUGUGAGAUACAUUUACCUUUUUCUUCAUCGUGGUGUGGUGGGGACCCUUCCCAGCCACUACUUUUUGAAUAUGCACAGUCACAUACUUCUAUGCUCUGGUCUCACCCUACCCCAUCCUACUGCUCCCAGGGAAUCUCAUUUUCUAAGACAUUUUCAUCAAAAUCUGGCAGGUAUUUGAAGUUGAUACACAAAGUGUGGGGAGAAUGGCUGUCCCUGAGGAGAGACUAGUCACUCCACAGAAUCACCUCUGUCCCCUUCUGCACGUCCUCAUCCCACCAGCUUCCCUUAGGUUUGACCCACUUCACUAUUCCACUCUAAUGAAGACACAUCACCUUACCUAUUUCUACCUGUUUAAAGCAGAGCCAACCAUUUAGAAAUACAAACAUGCUAAUUCGUGUGUAUUCAUCCCUGCGCUUUGGCUUCUGUAGAACUGUAAUAAUAGUUUAUAAGCUCUGUGAGACCACAGUACAUUGCUCUGGAUGAGUUACUGGGGACACAUAGACUUUCUAAAUAUGCAGGACCUUUUUAAGAUCAGUUCAGGAAUGUCCCACUUACUUAUACUGCUCAGACAGAUGAGCACAGCAUACUGCCUUGCGGGAGGUCCUUCCGCUCCUCCAACCAAUAGCUGCUGAGAUACCAGCCCAUUGGGGGCGUGGUCUCUCUCCCUUUAAAACUACUUCCCUCGGCUUGCUCUCUCUUCACUUCCUGCUCCGCCGGUGACUAGACUCCCUUCCUGGUUGCGCAGAGGGCUGUUGUCUGGGACGGUGAUCUGUAAGUUUUUUCCUCUUUAAAUAAAUACCACCCUAUUAAUCAUAAUUCCAAACUGGCGUGGCAUUGUUUGUGACUUACGCCUUCACUGCCUGGGGACCCUGUCACCAAGAAGGCAGCAUCGCCUGGCAAGGCUGAUGCAAUGACACAGAACUUUUGGAGGAAACUGAGGCAGGGGCCCUGGCAAUGGCACCCAACAUCUACUGCGUGGCUGCAAGGGACAAGAGCUCUGGAGACAGCAGGUUCUGAAGGCAGAACUAAGCUAUUAGUGACAGGAGCUAUCGUUCUGCUGAUGGCUUCUGGAGUGCAGCAUCCCAGGGUGCAUUACAUUGGUACCAGUUCUUGCUGUGGCUGUUGGCGAGGCAGUUGCCUCUAAGCAUGGGGUUUAGUGAGUCCCGUGAUGCUGGCUCACUCCCUCACUUCUCUAAGAAGUUGCUCCAUGGCUCUGCUGGCAGGACAGAACAAAGCAACACCCAGAGCUGCCAUCUUUUCUAAGGAAAUCGCUAUCCUCUGUCAUUGGCCUUGCAUAAAGAAAGGGACACAAAACAAUCACCUGCCCCAAAGUAGCUCGUUGCUCCCCUGGAUUAGGACUGGUGAGAAUCGAUUCCUCAGAAGAGCUUAGCAAUGUGGAACCUAGUGAGGUCACACUCAUGUGGUAGAGUCCAUGACUAUCCUGUUGGCCACAGUUCAUGAACCAAUGAUUGGGUCCUCUUGAAUAUUCAAAAACUCAACAGUGAAGGCCUUUUGCUGGGCAAUACCACCAUCAGAGCUGUCUUAGCUUCUAUUGCUGUGAUGAAAAACCAUGACAAAAGCAGCUUGAGGAGGAAAAGGUUUAUGUGGCUUACACACCCACAUUGCUGUUCAUCACUGAAGGACAGGAACUCAGACAGGGCGGGAACCUAGAGGCAGGAGCUGAUGCAGAGGCCAUGAAGGGGUGUUGAAAUAGGUGCUGCGGGGCUGCGUCCCCGGCACCCGGCCGCCUGCAUGGCUAGCUUAUGCCCCGAAAUAAUUACACGGAAACUGUAUUCUUUCAAACACUGCCUGGCCCGGCUAGGUCCAGUUUCUUAUUGGCUAGCUCUUACAUAUUGUUCUAACCCAUUUCUAAUAUUCUGUGUAGCCCAUGAGCUGGCUUACCAGUGAGGAUCUUAACCUGCGUCUGUCUGGAGUGGGAGCAUCAUGGCAACUCCUCCCACUAAGCUUCUUUUUCCCAGCAUUCUCCUCUGUCUACUCCGCCUACCUAAUUUUCUGUCCUAUGAGGGCCGAGGCAGUUUCUUUAUUAGUAAGAAAUCACUCCCACAUCAAAGGGGAGCUGCUUACUGGCUUGCUCCACUCAGUCUGCUUUAUUAUAGAACCCAGGACCACCAGACCAGGGAUGGCACCACCCACAAUGAAUGGGCUGGGUCCUUCCCCACCAAUCACUAGUUAAGAAAAUGCCCUACAAGCAGAUCUUACAGAGGCCUUUCUCCUCUCAGAUGACUCUAGCUUGUGUCUAGCUGGCAUGAGGCCAUCCAGCACAGUGUCCCAUGGUGACAUAACAUCCCUUUCUGCAAACCUGUCGCCUAUUUUCAAUCUGAUUACUUCUCCAGAUUUGGCCUUGCGGUCAGAAUGGCACCCGCUCACCACACCUGUGGCCACCUUGCCUUCCAGGAGACCCCAAGCUGGAACACUUCUCCGAGAGAAUGGCUAUCAUCCUUUCCACAGAGCCCAGGAUGGCGCGGUGGAUGAUCACGGGCCUGUUCUUCUCAUCCCCGUCCUUACUGAAGAAAUGAAAAAUGCACAUUAGCAGAUGACGGCUGAAAUGCCUGGAGGCGGACUGGACAUCGCGCUCUAGAGUCACUGCUCUGAGGUCUCGCCAUCUGAGUUGCAGGAUUUUAGACAUGAGAGCUUGUACAAAGCUUUACCUAUCUGCACUCCUGGGAUAAUUCUGGGCAGCAAUAAAACAGGCAAUAUAUUCACUGCCUUCCUGGUUCUGGGGAGAUGCUGUUGUUGGCUGAUAAAUGUUCCUUAUCAUAAUGGGAGGUUUAUUUGCAUCAUUUCAUAGGAUGGCUACUGUGUUUUACAGAUGCCCUUCCUCCAGGCUGUGUGCAAGAGGUUAACACGUGUUUCCAUAGUGAGCCCCCUUGAGAUCUUAAGAUAAGAAGUCAUGGUGAUGCUCUGCUCUCCUGCUCCCUACGCUUCAAAAAUGACACCAGCCCCUUCUCCAAAUUAUACAAAACACCGCCAUUGGGUUCACUUGCUUCUAACCAUCACUACCCUGAUCUGUCUACGGACCAAUGCUCCCCUAGUUUCCACACUCCACACACUCCUAGGAUGGCUUACCUGUAUGAUUGAAUUCCCCUCCACCCCUCCCUCAAGUGAAAAGGGAUUGUUUAUUAUAAUAACCCUGAUAGGACAAUUAUGGGAUUUGAAAUGUGACAAUAGUUUUCCCCCUAAAGGGAAACAUAUAACUUGGGCAGUUUCAGUGGAAACUACCAAUAAUCUGUAAGAGAAAUAACACCAAAUUUACCUCAUCUUUUCCAGAAAACAGAACAGAAGGGAAUACUUCCCCAAUUGUUUUAAAAGACCAGCAUUCUCAGAUACUGAGAUCUAGCAAGGCUGUUACAAAAAAACAAAGUUACAGACCAAUUUCCUGUAAGAACAUGCAUUCAAAUAAUCUCAACAAAUUAAUGACAGGCCAAGAUCCAAGUAGAUCUUAUCCUAGAAGUGGUUAGAGUUCUAAAUAAACACGGUCCACCAUAGAAAUAAGCUAAAGAAAAAAAAAACAGAAUUCUUGAUUAAAACAACUCUUCAGCCAUUAGAAAUAUUGGGAAACAAUUGGGAGGUGAGUGUUGAAUCCGAGGCCUGGCAAAGGCUGAGCAAACACUCUAUCACUGAACUCCACCCUGAGCCGGGGAGAGGCAGAUUGAAAAGGUCUGGCAAGUGGUUAGGUCAAGCAGGAUACCCCAGGAAGGGACUACCGUAGGUCUCCUCGCACAGCUAGCUUAGCUCUCAAGAGAUGUCGUCCACACAAAGCUACUUCCUUUCCCGUGUCUCUGCCACAUUGAGAAGCAGUAGGAGACCUGUGCCGGAGACCUAUGCCAGAAGCCUGUGCCAGGCUGUUUGCACUUUAGAACUGCCAGAACUUUAGCCAAAUAAAUCUCGUUCCUUUAUAAAGUACCCAGGCUUAACUAUUUUGACCUAGCACUAUAAACAGAUGAAGAAAACCCCAAUAUUACAUAGAAGUCAACAAAUGUAUAGUGCAUAGCACAGACCCUAGGAACUCAAUAGUGCUUAUUUGUGUAUUGUCCAUGAUCUUACAAAAAAUAGUGAAG